rnacentral:rRNA from 1 species
AACGUAGGAGACGAACGUUAUCCGGAUUUACUGGGCGUAAAGGGCGCGUAGGCGGUUUGUUAAGUCUGGCGUGAAAGCUCUCGGCUAAACCGGGAGAGGUCGUUGGAUACUGGCGAACUCGAGGAUGGUAGAGGCGUGUGGAAUUCCGGAUGUAGUGGUGAAAUGCGUAGAGAUCCGGUGGAACACCAGUGGCGAAGGCGACUUCCUGGACCAAUACUGACGCUCAUGCGCGAAAGCGUGGGGAGCAAACAGG